GCGAUUGUAGAGAAACGGUAUCUCGCUAGUCUCAUAAACUAGAGUAAGUUAGUUCAAUUCUAACCAUCGCA
rnacentral:tRNA from 1 species